rnacentral:rRNA from 1 species
GACGAACGCUGGCGGCGCGCCUAACACAUGCAAGUCGAACGGAGCUGUUUUCUCUGAAGUUUUCGGAUGGAAGAGAGUUCAGCUUAGUGGCGAACGGGUGAGUAACACGUGAGCAACCUGCCUUUCAGUGGGGGACCAACAUUUGGAAACGAAUGCUAAUACCGCAUAAGACCACAGUGUCGCAUGGCACAGGGGUCAAAGGAUUUAUCCGCUGAAAGAUGGGCUCGCGUCCGAUUAGCUAGAUGGUGAGGUAACGGCCCACCAUGGCGACGAUCGGUAGCCGGACUGAGAGGUUGAACGGCCACAUUGGGACUGAGACACGGCCCAGACUCCUACGGGAGGCAGCAGUGGGGAACUAUUGGCACAAUGGGGGAAACCCUGAUGCAGCGACGCCGCGUGGAGGAGAAGGUCUUCGGAUU